AACAAAUAUUAAAGGCAAUGCCUGCCCAGUGAACAAUUAAACGGCCGCGGUACCCUAACCGUGCAAAGGUAGCAUAAUCAUUUGUCUAUUAACUGUAGACCUGUAUGAAAGGCAAAAUGAGGGUUUAACUGUCUCUUAUAAUAAAUCUAUUAAACUGAUCCCCCAGUAAAAAAGCUGGGAUACUCCCAUAAGACCAGAAGACCCUGUGAAGCUUUAACUAAACUAUUAAACUAAAUAAUAACUACUUUAGGUUGGGGCGACCUUGGAAAUAAAAAGAACUUCCAACAUAACAAAUUAAAUCAUUAAGGCCCACAAGCCAAUUAACGACCCAGUAAUACUGAUAAUUGAACUAAGUUACUCCAGGGAUAACAGCGCCAUCUUCUUCAAGAGCCCAUAUCAAAAAGAAGGUUUACGACCUCGAUGUUGGAUCAGGACACCCCAAUGGUGCAACCGCUAUUAAAGGUUCGUUUGUUCAACGAUUAAUGUCCU
rnacentral:rRNA from 1 species